UUUUUUUUUUGCAUUUUUGUGUUUUUGUUGGUGAUUUCGAUGUUUAAAAUGGGCCCCAAGUAUAGUGCUGAAGUGCUGUCUGGUGUUCUUAAGCACAGAAGGGCUGUGAUGUAUCUGAUGAAGAAAAUAUGUGCAUUCGAUAAGCUUCCUUCAGGCAUGAAUUACAGUGCUGUUGAUUGUGAGUUUAAUGCUAAUGAGUAAACAAUAUAUAGUAAAUAAGCUGUCUGUAGUCAGAAAUACACACAAAAUAGGGUUAUACAUUGAUCAGCUGGCAAAAGUGUGUGAGCAUAAGCUCACAGGCACCUAACACCAUGUUUCUCCUAGGAACCCUGUAGUGUUCCCUGUGCCUCUCUAGACUAUGAUUACCACAAAAAAAAAAAAAAAAAAAAAGAGAGAGAAAAGACUGUAUGUAUAAUGUGAUCUGGGAGUAAGCAUUAUUAGAUUAUUUUAAUAAAGCAGUUCAAAGAGGAAAAUAUGCUUAAACAAACAUUUGAAAAAUUAGAAGUUCGAAAUGGGAGUAGGGGUGCAGACAAUGAGAUGAGCAAUGAGGGGGGAGAAGGGUAUUCCAGGCGGAUGGAACAACAGAUACAAAGACACAGAGCAAGGGUCAACAAACUACAGCUCCUGGCUCAAACCCAGCCCUUGACUAUUUUUGUAAGCGAAGUUUCAUUGGAACACAGCCAUAUCCACUUGUUUACUCGUCAUCUACUAUUGUUUCGAACCUCUGGCAUAGAGGCACCAGAAGCACAGUAAAGAGAAUGAGAGGUAGCAAACUACUGCUACCCAGUUUGCAGUGAACUGUUCAUGUGGAAGAGGGACAGUAAAUAAAGCCAGUUAGCAGGAGCCAGGUGAUGAAGGGCCUCACAGGCCAUGAAAAGGGUUUACAUAGGGAGCAGGUGUUAGGUAAUUGGAUGCACCGCAGAGGACAGAGUGGAUAGGGGAGAGACUGGAGGCUGAGAGGCCAGUUAAGAGGCAAGGGAAAUAGAAGAUGGGAGUUUGGUUCCCACGGUGAUUUAAAUAAAGGGGAGGGGGUACAAUUUCAAAAAAAUUUUCAGAGACAGAUUAUGCUAACUUUGUGAAUAUUUUGAUUCAAAUGAGUACAAAGAAGAGCAAGAACAGACCAUGGCUCCCCGGCCUCUGAAUGGGAUGAACUGGUCCAUGAUGGUGCCAUCCUCCAAGACUGAGAUUCCAGAGGAAGAGUUAUGAGAAAGGGGAAGGAUAUAAUUUCGGUCAUGGACACUUUGAAGUUGAGACGACACUGAGACAUCCAAAUGGGGAAAUAUUGAUCUGCACAAAUAGGCAGUGUGGAUUGAGUAAACAGUUUAUCAAAGAAUAAUCAAAACCCUGAUUGUGGUUAGCCUGCUUAAGGAAAGCACAGAUGGUGAUACAUACAGUGAAGAGAUGGGAUGGUGGGAGGGGUGAUGCAAUAAUUGAUCCAUUAGGGAACAACAGCCAGGCGUUGGGAGGAUGAGAAGAUUUUGCCAAUAGUUUGUAAUGGUGAUCAAACAUGGCAAGAACAACUGGUAUCUCAGGAAUCACAUAAAUUUCAAUCCUUAUGUGAUAUAGACAGGAGGCCCAGGUGGUGAAGGGCAAUGAAAGAAGCUGAGAAGACCAGGCAUGUGAGUAUGUUUUCAGCUGAUGACAACCAGUUUGAAGACCCCCAAAAGAAGAACCAAACUGCAUGAGAAUUCAGUUUCUUCAUCUCCCUACCCCAUGAU